UGAGAAUUGACUGUAAGAUGCUUUUAUCGAGUGUCCAUAAGCAGAUACAUUUGCAGGAACACCAAUCUGAAAGUGAAACUGAACCAGAACCAGAGCCAUAUAUACUAGGCUUAAAUAUAUUUUACUACCCUAAACUAUCUGUAUAUUCUACUUUGGUGAUUCACCUUUAAAUUUUUUCAAUUAGAUGAUUGAACUACUGAUUUUUUCAAUUUCAUCCAAUUAAAAC
rnacentral:lncRNA from 1 species